UACAGAGGGUGCAAGCGUUGUUCGGAAUCAUUGGGCGUAAAGCGCACGUAGGCGGCCUACUAAGUCAGGUGUGAAAGCCCAGGGCUCAACCCUGGAAGUGCACUUGAAACUGGUGGGCUUGAAUGUCGGAGAGGGCAGUGGAAUUCCGAGUGUAGAGGUGAAAUUCGUAGAUAUUCGGAGGAACACCAGUGGCGAAGGCGACUGCCUGGACGAACAUUGACGCUGAGGUGCGAAAGCGUGGGGAGCAAACAGG
rnacentral:rRNA from 1 species